AUACGGAGGAUGCGAGCGUUAUCCGGAUUUAUUGGGUUUAAAGGGAGCGUAGGUGGGAUAUUAAGUCAGCUGUGAAAGUUUGGGGCUCAACCUUAAAAUUGCAGUUGAUACUGGUUUCCUUGAGUACGGUACAGGUGGGCGGAAUUCGUGGUGUAGCGGUGAAAUGCUUAGAUAUCACGAAGAACUCCGAUCGCGAAGGCAGCUCACCGGGCCGGAACUGACACUGAUGCUCGAAAGUGCGGGUAUCAAACAGGAUUAGAUACCCUGGUAGUCCGCACAGUAAACGAUGAAUACUCGCUGUUUGCGAUACACGGUAAGCGGCCAAGCGAAAGCGUUAAGUAUUCCACCUGGGGAGUACGCCGGCAACGGUGAAACUCAAAUGAACUGACGGGG
rnacentral:rRNA from 1 species